AACGAACGCUGGCGGCAGGCCUAACACAUGCAAGUCGAGCGAGCAUUUCGGUGCUAGCGGCGGACGGGUGAGUAACGCGUGGGAACGUGCCCUUUUCUGCGGAAUAGUCCUGGGAAACUGGGGGUAAUACCGCAUACGCCCUUUUGGGGAAAGAUUUAUCGGAGAAGGAUCGGCCCGUGUUGGAUUAGGUAGUUGGUGGGGUAAUGGCCCACCAAGCGGACUAUCCAUAGCUGGUUUGAGAGGAGGACCAGCCUCACUGGGAAUGCGACACGGGCCAGACUUCCGCGGGGGGCAGAAGUGGGGAAGCUUAGACAAGGGGGGGAACACUAAGAUAGCGAUGCCGCGUGAGUGAUGAAGGCCUAAGGAUUAUAAAGCUCUUUCAGCUGGCAAGAUAAUGACGGUCCAAGCAGAAGAAGCCCGGGAAAACUCCG
rnacentral:rRNA from 1 species